AAGAAAUUGAGAGAUGAGAAUGGGAUGAAGGUGAAAUCCAUACAAAUCUAGAAAAAGCAAAAGAAGGCGUUAAUGGAACCACGAAACCCCUCUCCCUCUCCCUCUCCCUCUUCCUCUUCAGUUCGAGUACUCAUUCGCCCUACUCAAUCUUCUUCUUCUUCUUCUUCUUCAACCUCCGAUCAUCCCUCAGCUCCACCUCACUCCUCCUCCUCCGAAGGCGUUGUGGUUGUCGGUUUCAUUGCUCGGCGACACGACGAUUCCGCUCACCUCAUUAACCGAGUCAUCGACUCCAACGUUUUCGCCUCUGGCAAUCUCGACAAGCCGUUAUUCGUCGACGACGAUGAAGCCAGGGACUGGUUCAAGCGCAGGAGAAUCAGUUAUUUCCACGACCACGAUAAGGGGAUUCUGUUCCUCCAGUUUUGUUCCACUCUCUGUCCCGCCAUUCACGGCAGCGGCGGCGGCGGCCCGGAAACCGCGCCGGGAUUCGACUCCGUCGUGGAAGAGCACGACUUCGGCGACCUCCAGGGAAUGCUCUUCAUGUUCUUUGUUUGCCAUGUUAUCAUAUACGUUCAGGAGGGUUCACACUUCAGUACUAGGAUUUUAAGGAAUUUUCGUGUGCUACAAGCAGCCAAGCAUGCUAUGGCUCCCUUUUUUAGAUCCCAAACUACACCACCCUUGCCGUCUAGAUCGCAUUCUUCUUCGUUGUCGUCGCGACCUACAUCUUCGGCUAGCAAUUCUUCUCCAGGUAGAGGUGGUGGUAACUUGAGUCGCAAUGCGUCGGCCAUAUCUCUCAUGUCGGGUUUAGGUUCUUAUACUUCUUUGUUUCCAGGACAGUGCAUACCUGUCACAUUGUUUGUUUUUGUCGAUGACUUCUCCAAUUUACUGAAUUCCAACACAAAUGGGGAGGACACUUCUUCGGAUGUUUCUUCACUUAAUCAGUCUUCUAGUUUGAGUAGUGUAGCCAAGACAAACUUGCCUGCUAAAGGUUCUGGUUCAGUAGUUGUGCUGGCACGACCUGCAAGUCGAUCUGAAGGUGGAUUUAGGAAGAAAUUACAGUCAUCUCUUGAAGCACAAAUUCGAUUCCUGGUUAAGAAAUGCCGUACAUUAUCGGGUUCUGAGAUAACUCAUUCUGGUGUGAGAACUGGGGGUAACUCAAGUUCUGCACCUUUGUUUUCACUUGAUGCAUCAAGGGCAGUUGUCUUGUUGGAUCGGCUUUCAAAUCAAAAAGGUGAGUCUCUUGAGUUUGCCACUGGACUUGUUGAAGAUGUCUUAAAUGGGAAAGCUACCUCAGAUUCCCUUCUGCUUGAGAGCCAUGGUCAAAGUGCAAACAAAGAAGAUUUAAUAUCUGUUAAGGAGUUCAUUUACAGGCAAUCUGAUAUUUUGAGAGGGAGAGGUGGACUAGUUAAUACCAACAGUGGCUCAGCUGCUGGUGUCGGUAUGGUUGCUGUUGCAGCAGCGGCUGCUGCUGCCUCAGCUGCAUCUGGGAAAACAUUUACUACUCCUGAUCUUCCAAAUUUUGAAGUUUGGUUAACUUCUAGUCAUCAUAUCUUGAGUAGAGUUCUCUGUGCAAAAGUGGGUUGCUUGGAUGAAUUUGAAAUUAUUAAAAGAAAACCUCGUCCAAGGAACACUGUUUCACCAGCAGUAGAAGGAUCUUUGAAGAGUACAAAUCCUUUAGAUGUUGCAGUAUCUUGGUUGCAAAGUGGUAGAGGGCUGAACACUAAGUUUUCAACUUUGUGGUGCCAAAAAGCCAUUCCAGCUGCAAAGGAGAUUUAUUUGAAAGAUUUGCCCACAUGUUAUCCUACUUCACAACACGAAGCCCAUUUAGAUAAGGCUUUGCAUGCAUUUCGCUCAAUGGUAAAAGGACCUGCAGUGCAACUUUUUGCAAAAAAGUUGGAAGAGGAAUGCACUUCUAUUUGGAAAUCAGGAAGGCAACUAUGUGAUGCUGUUAGUUUGACGGGCAAACCAUGCAUGCAUCAAAGGCAUGAUGUUGAGACCAGUAAAUCAGACUUAGGAGCUUCGGCCAAGCCACAUUCCAGUGGCUAUUUUUUUCUUCAUGCCUGUGCUUGUGGUCGUUCCCGACAGUUACAGUCUGAUCCCUUUGAUUUCGAAUCAGCUAAUGCUAGUUGCUUCUCUGACUGUGAUAAGCAACUUCCUGCAGUCAAACUACCAGAAAUAGAAGUUGCAGGACCUGUUCAAUCUUCCCCUUGGAGUUUGCUUCGUAUUGGGGGUGCAAGAUACUAUGAAUCUUCUAAAGGUUUACUUCAAAGUGGAUUUUGUGCCACUCAGAAAUUUCUUCUAAAAUGGACAAUAUACCUAGAAAAACAGAGGAGAUCAAAUGGUUCAAUAGAGAGUAUAGUGAAACAAGGCUCUGUAAUUAGGCCACCCAAGGCUGAAUACAUUGCAGAUGCUAAGAAAACUGGUGUUAGACAACCCCACCCUGCUGUGCAGAAUGGAGUGGAAGACCAAAGAACAUCUUUAGAUACAAACAAGGCUGAUGAUAAAAAGAUAAGUUUUGGUAGAGGUUUUCCUAUUUUCAAAAUGAGAAAACCUUUUUCUGAGGUUGUUGCUGGAUCAGUGGCUGCUGACUCAGGAUUCCCUCCACUUCAGCAAAGGAAAUUGCCUACAUCUGGUUCAGAAAAGGGUACGAAGCAAAGCAGGCCAAGUAGUCAGAAUUCAGAGUGGGUUAAUGCAGCCGUUGAUCAUCAAGUAUCUCAAAAAUCUCAAGAUAUAUCAUUUACUCAGGGACUUGUUGAUGGUAAUGGCAAUAAUAGCUGCAGGGAUGGUGACCCCUUUUUGAGGAUAGGUAGCAAUGUAGUGCCUGUAUACUUGAAUGGUAGUGAAAGGAGCAAAUCUCAUUCUUCUUUGAAACAUGUAAUAGUAUAUGUUGGAUUCGAGCACGAGUGCCCCCAUGGCCACCGUUUCCUGUUAAAUGCUGAACAUCUCGCUGAACUUGGAUCUUCAUACUCAUUAUCUGAAGAAUCUCAUAUAUCUUCUCUGGAGUCUGCUGGCAAAAAUCAGGCCUAUCAUACUAAAGUAAGCAAGAAUGCUUCCUGGGCCAAAGUCCAUCGAAGUGCAAAUGAAAUUCUUUCUGCAUCUAUAAAUAAGGAAAGAGAUGUGAACAAAUCAAAUGAAAUGAUCCCUAAUGGUGAUUUGAAUUCAGAUGGAUUAAUAUAUACUUCCAUUCCACUGAAGGAACAAAAUUUUCCCUCUAUGAAUGUAUUAUCAAAAACCCCCAAUCUUAUGAAAGAUCUUGGAGGGGAUUUUCAAGCUAUUGGCAUGGAUGGUGAUGAUCUUGCAUUCUCCAUGUUGAAUCGAAACUUGCCUAUCUACAUGAUCUGUCCUCACUGCAGGCAUUCUAGGAAUAAGAAAGAUACUUCAAAAGUUAAGUUUGCCAGUGGUAUCUCACAGCUGAAAAGGAUUUUUCUGGUGACCCCUGCUUUUCCUGUGAUACUAGCAACAUGUCCUGUCGUACAAUUUGAGACAUCAUGCCUGCCUUCAUCAGUUCCAGAUCGUGAACGAAAAUUGCAGUUUAGCCUUGGAUGUCAAGUGGUCUUACCUCCAGAGAGUUUCCUCACUCUUAAAUUACCAUUUGUGUAUGGCGUGCAUCUUGAAGAUGGAAACAAGCAUCCUCUUAACCCCUUCGAACAACAACCAGAAAUGACUGCCUGGAUCACCAAGGGCACGGUACUGCAGAUCUUGUCCAAGGAGAGGAAUGAUGAGGGAUAUCAAACACAAUAAAAGCUUACUAAAUCUUGGAGUGGCCUUGCUAGAGUGAAAAGAAAAGUAUGUCGAUAGCUUCUCCAAAACUCAGUUGCUAGGUCAUAUGUAUAAAGUUGUGAUUGGAGAUUCAGGACAAGGAACUUUAUGGAUGAUGAGUAUGGUCCAGAAUGAAAUUACUAAGCUAUAAUGGAAACACAUGGAGUAAAUCAUCAUCCAGGCAUGAACUGGUAACAUGGAUUUACCUGCUUAAUCGUAGUAAGGUCUGAUAAUGUGAAUUGAUUAUACUUACUUGCCACCCUUUUUAUUGGGUGCAAUUUUGGACCUCUUGGUUACUUACAGCCCUGUGGGGGCUUUGUAGCUCGCUCAUCUGCUCUUGUAUAAUAAUCUCAUGUGGAUAAAUGCAGACCCAUAGUUCAAUCGAUUUGGAUGAUACUGCCCUUUACAAAUGAAUGUAUUCUACGAUUGGGGGGAAUCUAUGUGCAUCAAUAACUACAGAAUUAGAAUGAUCCUAGUAAUGUUUGCUUGCAGGUGAAUCUCCUCAAAGUUGCAUUUGAUGAAAGGGUGGAUGGCGUCAUCUACAUAGAAGAUCAUGUAGCCAAGAUACUGAAUAUUGUCUGUUAUGAUUUGAUCUUAUUCUUCAACAUGAAGCACAACAAUAAAUGAGCAAUGACAUUGAUCCUAUGCAUUUCAAUAUUAUACCGAAAGGGUAAAAGGGUGAAGCAGGAGCUAGCUAGGAAAAACUAGGCGCAUUGCUGUUUCUUGAUUUUUACUUGAUUUCCAGGGGAAUGGGCAUUUAGUGCCGUAGUUUUGUUUGAGGCAAUACGAUGAGUGUUAUGCGUGAUGUUAAAUUCGUCGUUGUGUUUUUAGUUCUUAGUUUGGUGUAAGCUUGCUGAUCAUCAAGGUGAUAAAAAAUCGUUUGACUGCAGCCUAUGAAUGGUCAUUGUGAAAGACUUUUAUUGUAUUUUCUUUAGGUAAUGUUGAAACUUUGUUUAGGCCCUUACGUUCUCAGCCAACAAACACUGGAGGGGAACAAACAAACU